rnacentral:lncRNA from 1 species
GUUCACCAUACUUAGGCUAUCACAGAGAAGUGGUAAGUAUGUGUUGAUAUAAUCUGGUAAGCGGUAAUGAUGAUGAUUGAAUGUAAAUUUGGCCUGGGCAUCAGGGCAAAGGUUGGUCAAGACACAUGAAAACCAACCUCUUCAGUUCCUGGGACAUAAAAAUGUAGGAAAAAAAGGAGAGGAUGGGGUGUCUCCAUCUCCAUCUUUGAAAUGUUUCCCAAGGCUGUUGUCUUGGGAGAACAGUUAGUGAAAUUUUUGUUGGUUUUAUAAUGUAUAAAAGGUUCCCUGGAUCCAGCCGUAAAGGGAUCUCCCAAUUAAGUAAGGCAAGGCCAUUUGUUUGUUUUUGCCCUACGUUUUACCGCACACACUAGCACACGUACACACAACCCACCAGUUAUUAAUAUUUGUUGGUGGUGUUAAUACCGUGUAUGAUUUAAUUGUGUGGGGUAUUUUAAUAGGUUCUUUAUGGGUUAGAGAGGAUACACCUUAAAGGGCACACAAAUUACAUUUUCUGAACUAUCUAUUGUUCGAAUGUUGGUUGCACAAAUGUAAAUUCUCCUGAUAAGAAAAAUCUAAUGUAAACCUUGUACGCAGAAUGAUGGAAAUGUUUAAAAUGUUUUUAAAUAAGUAGUCUGAAGUGCGGGGAAAGGGAUUACCUGUAACAACUGUUGUCAUGGAGAGAAGACCAAGGCGCAGCAAUUAUGACGAAAGUGGUAGGAGUCCUGAGACCGUCCAAACUCCUCUCAUGCUGCUGAUGCACUGGUGGGAAAAUGGACAAGACAUUAUGAACUGUACGGGAUGGUGGUGGAGGCUCAGGUAUACUGACCUCAGCCUCUUCAUCGUUGACAUCCUGAGGGACCGGAGCAUCAGCCUCCCAGUCUUCAAGACCAUCAUGCCACAGCCGGAUGUUGUGGAACACAAAAUGCUGCUGUGGUGACCACAGGGACCUUUCAAUGUCCACCAUGGGCAGGUACUUGAGGCGUCUCCACUUGACCUUGAGGUGUCCAAAUGCCAUUUCAAUGUCAACUCUCGUGGAGCUGUGAGAUGGAGUUGAAUUUCUUCUGCAUUGGAGAGAAAUGCCCAUUGUUCCUGUAAGGCAUAAUGAGGACCUGAGCCCUAGGACCAUGCCUCAGGACUACCUGGUAUGAUGACUCCUUGCUGUCCCCAGUCCACCUGGCCGUGCUGCUGCUCCAGUUUCAACUGUUCUGCCUGCGGCUAUGGAACCCUGACCUGUUCACCGGACGUGCUUGUUGCACCCUCGACAACUACUAUGAUUAUUAUUAUUUGACCAUGCUGGUCAUUUAUGAACAUUUUAACAUUUUAACAUGUUCUGUUAUAAUAUCCACCCUGCACAGCCAGAAGAGGACUGGCCACC